rnacentral:rRNA from 1 species
GAGUUUGAUCCUGGCUCAGGACGAACGCUGGCGGCGUGCCUAAUACAUGCAAGUAGAACGCUGAAGAGAGGAGCUUGCUCUUCUUGGAUGAGUUGCGAACGGGUGAGUAACGCGUAGGUAACCUGCCUUGUAGCGGGGGAUAACUAUUGGAAACGAUAGCUAAUACCGCAUAACAAUGGAUGACACAUGUCAUUUAUUUGAAAGGGGCAAUUGCUCCACUACAAGAUGGACCUGCGUUGUAUUAGCUAGUAGGUGAGGUAACGGCUCACCUAGGCGACGAUACAUAGCCGACCUGAGAGGGUGAUCGGCCACACUGGGACUGAGACACGGCCCAGACUCCUACGGGAGGCAGCAGUAGGUAAUCUUCGGCAAUGGGGGCAACCCUGACCGAGCAACGCCGCGUGAGUGAAGAAGGUUUUCGGAUCGUAAAGCUCUGUUGUAAGUCAAGAACGAGUGUGAGAGUGGAAAGUUCACACUGUGACGGUAGCUUACCAGAAAGGGACGGCUAACUACGUGCCAGCAGCCGCGGUAAUACGUAGGUCCCGAGCGUUGUCCGGAUUUAUUGGGCGUAAAGCGAGCGCAGGCGGUUUGAUAAGUCUGAAGUUAAAGGCUGUGGCUCAACCAUAGUUCGCUUUGGAAACUGUCAAACUUGAGUGCAGAAGGGGAGAGUGGAAUUCCAUGUGUAGCGGUGAAAUGCGUAGAUAUAUGGAGGAACACCGGUGGCGAAAGCGGCUCUCUGGUCUGUAACUGACGCUGAGGCUCGAAAGCGUGGGGAGCGAACAGGAUUAGAUACCCUGGUAGUCCACGCCGUAAACGAUGAGUGCUAGGUGUUGGAUCCUUUCCGGGAUUCAGUGCCGCAGCUAACGCAUUAAGCACUCCGCCUGGGGAGUACGACCGCAAGGUUGAAACUCAAAGGAAUUGACGGGGGCCCGCACAAGCGGUGGAGCAUGUGGUUUAAUUCGAAGCAACGCGAAGAACCUUACCAGGUCUUGACAUCCCGAUGCUAUUUCUAGAGAUAGAAAGUUACUUCGGUACAUCGGUGACAGGUGGUGCAUGGUUGUCGUCAGCUCGUGUCGUGAGAUGUUGGGUUAAGUCCCGCAACGAGCGCAACCCCUAUUGUUAGUUGCCAUCAUUCAGUUGGGCACUCUAGCGAGACUGCCGGUAAUAAACCGGAGGAAGGUGGGGAUGACGUCAAAUCAUCAUGCCCCUUAUGACCUGGGCUACACACGUGCUACAAUGGUUGGUACAACGAGUUGCGAGUCGGUGACGGCAAGCUAAUCUCUUAAAGCCAAUCUCAGUUCGGAUUGUAGGCUGCAACUCGCCUACAUGAAGUCGGAAUCGCUAGUAAUCGCGGAUCAGCACGCCGCGGUGAAUACGUUCCCGGGCCUGUACACACCGCCCGUCAA